rnacentral:rRNA from 1 species
AUUGAACGCUGGCGGCAGGCCUAACACAUGCAAGUCGAGCGGAGCGGCGGACGGGUGAGUAAUGCCUAGGAAUCUGCCUGGUAGUGGGGGAUAACGUCCGGAAACGGGCGCUAAUACCGCAUCCUAUCAGCUGAGCCUAGGUCGGAUUAGCUAGUGGGUGGGGUAAAGGCCUACCAAGGCGACGAUCCGUAACUGGUCUGAGAGGAUGAUCAGUCAAAAUGGGACGGAGACACGGUCCAGAACCCUACGGGAGGCAGCAGGGGGGAAGCGUCCGCAAUGGACGAAAGUCUGACGGAGCAACGGCGCGUGAGUGAUGAAGGCCUUCGGGUUGGAAAGGUCUGUUAAGCGGGACGCGGUACCGGAAUAGAAAGCCACGGCGAACUACGUGCCAGCAGCCGCGGUAAUAC